UACGUAGGGUCCGAGCGUUGUCCGGAAUUAUUGGGCGUAAAGAGCUCGUAGGCGGUUUGUCACGUCGGCCGUGAAAACCUGGGGCUUAACUCUGGGCGUGCGGUCGAUACGGGCAUCACUAGAGUUCGGCAGGGGAGACUGGAAUUCCUGGUGUAGCGGUGAAAUGCGCAGAUAUCAGGAGGAACACCGGUGGCGAAGGCGGGGCUCUGGGCCGAUACUGACGCUGAGGAGCGAAAGCAUGGGUAGCGAACAGG
rnacentral:rRNA from 1 species